rnacentral:rRNA from 1 species
GGAAUCUUCCACAAUGGGCGCAAGCCUGAUGGAGCAACACCGCGUGAGUGAAGAAGGGUUUCGGCUCGUAAAGCUCUGUUGUUGGAGAAGAACGUGCGUGAGAGUAACUGUUCAUGCAGUGACGGUAUCCAACCAGAAAGUCACGGCUAACUACGUGCCAGCAGCCGCGGUAAUACGUAGGUGGCAAGCGUUAUCCGGAUUUAUUGGGCGUAAAGCGAGCGCAGGCG